UUGACCCGUCUUGAAACACGGACCAAGGAGUCUAACAUGUGCGCGAGUCAUUGGGUCUUGUUUAGGCCCAAAGGCGUAAUGAAAGUGAAGGCCGGUUCGGCUGGCUGCCUUGGGAUCCCGCGUUCCUCGUGGACGCGGGCGCACCAAGGGCCCGUCCCGAUCGCCUCGUCGACGGGGCGGAGCAAGAGCGUACACGUUGGGACCCGAAAGAUGGUGAACUAUGCCUGGGCAGAACGAAGCCAGAGGAAACUCUGGUGGAGGUUCGCAGCGAUUCUGACGUGCAAAUCGAUCGUCAGACCUGGGUAUAGGGGCGAAAGACUAAUCGAACCAUCUAGUAGCUGGUUCCUUCCGAA
rnacentral:rRNA from 1 species